GUGAGGAAUAUUGGACAAUGGGCGCAAGCCUGAUCCAGCCAUGCCGCGUGCAGGAAGACGCAUCUAUGGUGUGUAAACUGCUUUUGUACGGGAAGAAACACUCCCUCGUGAGGGAGCUUGACGGUACCGUAAGAAUAAGGAUCGGCUAACUCCGUGCCAGCAGCCGCGGUAAUACGGAGGAUCCAAGCGUUAUCCGGAAUCAUUGGGUUUAAAGGGUCCGUAGGCGGUUUAAUAAGUCAGUGGUUAAAGCCCAUCGCUCAACGAUGGAACGGCCAUUGAUACUGUUAGACUUGAAUUACAAGGAAGUAACUAGAAUAUGUAGUGUAGCGGUGAAAUGCUUAGAUAUUACAUGGAAUACCAAUUGCGAAGGCAGGUUACUACUUGUGGAUUGACGCUGAUGGACGAAAGCGUGGGGAGCGAACAGGAUUAGAUACCCGAGUAGUCC
rnacentral:rRNA from 1 species